rnacentral:rRNA from 1 species
AGCCCAGCGUGAAGGCCUUAUCACUCCGGUGUUAAGGCGGUGCCACGUUAAUGACUUGUCAUAAUGUUUUGCUGAAGCUUCGUGAAUGCUUUUGAAUAAGCUCAUUUUAGCCGAAGAGGGUGCAAGCCCCUUGGCGUUGUGGACGCAAAGCAUAGACUUGUCAUGAUAGAGUCGGGUUGCUUGAAAGUGCAACCUAAAGUAGAUGGUAAGCUCCAUCUAAGGCUAAAUAUCGCUGUGAGACCGAUAGCAAACAAGUACCGUGAGGGAAAGUUGCAAAGAACUUUGAAGAGAGAGUUCAAUAGGACGUGAAACCGUUUGCAGGUAAACAGAUGGACCCACGAAGUCCGGUUGAUCAGAGGAUUCAAAUCUUGCAAUUUGUUCUCNGCAAGUAAUUGCUUCCUUGACGGAAGUGUAUGCUUGUGUGAGUGCGUUUGUUAGAUGCAUUUUCUCUGAUCACGAUGGAGCUCUGACUGCUAAAUGACUUUCAUUGUGUAGGGCGGCUUCUUGCUGGGAGAUGAACCUUAGGGAUCAAUUCUACAGCUUGAGGUUUCAGUGAAGUCAUUUCAAGUGGUUGAAGUACUCACUUCGGUGAGUGUUCAGGUUGUCGAUGAUUGUUUUAAGCAGAUCGUGCAGGUAUUCAUUCUUUCGGCUCUUGAAGUUGAAAAGUGAAUAUUAUGCAGG